UUGAAAGCCGCAAGAGAGACCCUAUUGCCCAUGUGAAGACAAGGGCAAGGGGGCGCCGAAGGGGCAAGGUCCGCGAGGCCCGAAUCUCUCAGGCGAAAGGAUUGCGGCAGGACG
rnacentral:ncRNA from 2 species